AUUGAACGCUGGCGGAAUGCUUUACACAUGCAAGUCGAACGGCAGCACGGGUGCUUGCACCUGGUGGCGAGUGGCGAACGGGUGAGUAAUGCACCGGAACGUAUCCAAUAAUGGGGGAUAACGCACCGAAAGGUGUGCUAAUACCGCAUACGCCCUGAGGGGGAAAGCGGGGAUCGUAAGACCUCGCGUUAAUGGAGCGGCCGAUGCCGGAUUAGCUAGUUGGUGAGGUAAAGGCUCACCAAGGCGACGAUCCGUAGCUGGUCUGAGAGGACGACCAGCCACACUGGAACUGAGACACGGUCCAGACUCCUACGGGAGGCAGCAGUGGGGAAUUUUGGACAAUGGGCGCAAGCCUGAUCCAGCCAUUCCGCGUGAGUGAAGAAGGCCUCGGUUGU
rnacentral:rRNA from 1 species